UAAUGGUGUCCAAUCCUUGUCUCACAGAUGAGGGAUACAGGUUUGAUGCGACUGUACUUGAGUUAGAAGAAAACGGUCAGGAACUAGGAAGCAAUUUUGAAUUUUACGUUUCUCUUAUCCUGGAGCCCCAGCACCAGUCCUCAAGAUAAAAGCUAAUUUUGAGAAACUGGUCCUUGUGAGCUAACUUCUUCUAGCUUCAUCCAUGUAAAUUCUACUGAGUUUUCUGUAGAGAUUAUUGCCACAUUACUUAAAUACAACUGAAGCUUCACACAGCAAAUCUGAGUCUCUCUGUCUGAGAUCAUACUUGCAUAUGCCCUUUUCCCAAUUCUACCAGGGUGUACAUUGACUACAGUCUACAAUAUACUAUGUUAACAUCAUUUCGUUUCAAAGAGGUAUUUUUUUUUUUUUUUUUUCUUCAUUUUCAUUUUCCAAUGAAGAGAGAGAGAGAGGACAAGGGUAAGAGACAAAAGGAAGGAGAAGAUGAAAAUGCCGUUAAAUGGGGAAAAAAGAUUGACCACAACAUUCAAUUUUGCUUCUCCAAAACCAUAAGUAGGGACAGAAAUCGUAUAUUUGAGAUUAUGCACUUGUGUCUGUUCUUAACAUGAAAUAACUGGUAAAAAUGACCUCAAGCAUUCCAAUUGGCAAUCUCUAAACCACAGUAGCUGUAAAAAGAUCGACUCAAUAGUUUCACUAAGCUGCUGGAUAUAUUAAGCCUUUCUGCAGACAUGGAUAACAAAAAAGUUUAAAAAUUGAAUGCAGCAAGUCUUUGUCGAUCAUUAGUAAUUUAUUAACAGGAUAUGCAUAAAGAAUUACCGUUAAACACCAUAUAAUAUGUCUUCCUAAAUCAGUAUAAGUUCCAACAAGUGAAUACAGUAACAGAGUGAUGCUUGAUAAAAACAAAAGAGAGAAGACAAUAUGCUAUGAAACAGAGACUGGUAGCAAGGUUAGUUAAAGACGUUAUCGUGGAGAAAGCUAUGCUAAAACCCCCACAAUUACAAUGAUCGCUAAAUGCUAAAUCAUGACAACCGAUUUGUCUCUACUCGCUCCCUCUCUUAACGUUUUUCAGACGACCAGUCUUAGGGCAAGUUGACAAUCUAUCUUCAUGAAGACGACCAGUCUUAAGAGCAAGUUGAUAAUCUUGAUACAUCUUCAAAGAUUUGCUCCAACUGCAGAGACAUCUUCUCGUCCUUCUUGUAGGUCGUCUCCGCAAGGGCCCUGGUAUCAUCUUUGAUAUCUGACAUCUUCUCGUCCUUCUUGUCGGUCGUCUCCAACAGGGCCCUUAUGCGGCUGGUAUCAUCUUUGAUAUCUCCGACUUGGAAUGCCAUCAAAACCAUAAGGCUCGUCUUAAUAUCCGAACUGACCUUGUCUAUUUGCUCGGAGUAUAUGGGGAUUAUCUUCUUAAGCUUGUGGGCGAUCCCUGAUGACUUAUUCAUCCUGUCCACGAGCUGGGUAGCCCGGUCGAUGUCUUCUUUGAGCACCUUGAUGAGUUCGGUAGGUACCCCAUUGACAAAUUCGCCAGGUACCAACGGAGAUUGAGUGUCCAGUCGGGCAGCAAUCAGCUUGAGACACACCAAGUUGGCAUUGAGCUUGCGAACAUUCGGUUCGAGCUCUUUGUAUUUAUCGUAGAGGCGGUUAGUUUGGAAUGCGAGGCCCACGGCCCCUGCGACAACUCCGAAUGCCUCCGUCAUCGAAGGAAAGAGUGAUGCUCCGUUUUGGGUAUUCGAUCUGUUUCUGUUUCUCUUUGAGAGGGAGAGUGGUAGAGCUAGGGUAGGGUUUUGUGGGAUACUGCGUUGGACUUGGACACCAACAUUAGAAUUAUUACAAAAAAAAUAUCGAAAACCCCGUCCACAAAGUUAAUCCAUGAUUUGCCUAAUUCCAAAACUUGUCGCAGCUGUGUCACUGACUUGCCCAUUCCUCUUAGAAGAUCCUGGAGCUCGUGGCGUAGACCAUCGUUUUCUUCUUCAGACGUAGGAGCCCGGCCCCGGAUUGCUUGUGUUUCUAGACGCUGGAUUGCUCCUUUAAGUUUGGCGAUGCAUGCUUUUCCGAGGUAAUAUCCUAGUUCUUCUGCUGCAACGCGAGGUCGUCCUUGAUUACGAUGGCGGAAGUUUUCUUCUAGACGAGGGAUUGCUUCUUCCAGUUCCCGGAUGUCUUCAAGCUCUAGAUAUGGGCGGUCUUCGUGUUCCACAUUCUCUGCGAAUUUUUUUUCUAGACGGCGGAUUACUUCUUCCAGUUCAACUACUAGACGGUGUCGUUCCUGUAAUAUUCGAUUCGACGUCGGCAUUGUUCUUCUUGUCCUUAUAUUUCUGCCCUACACAAGGUUAUUUAUAGGGAUUGUUUUAUGUAAUGCUAUUCCCAACAUGAAAAAUGAAAACAUUCCUUGUGAAGCAAGUGAUAAGAAAUAUAAUCCAACUAGAAUAAGGAAUUACCAUGUUUUUGAGAAGCAAGUAAAAUCCUAUUCCCAGCAUAAAAGAAAACAUUCCUAAUACCACUAUAAUAAGGAAAGUUCUCAAAAACAUAGCACAUAUGAUUCAACACUCAACACUCUUAACUCAUACAACCUUCGGACCGUACCAUAAAAAUUGGUAGAAACUAGAGACGAAUACUCUUUAACACAAAGUAGUGCUAACUAGUAUAAUAAUGGAAGCAGAAAACCAGACUACAUUUUGACAUGAGUGAUCAAUUAGUGUCUUUUAUUUCCUUGAAUAACAAGAAAUGAUACUUAGGGUAUUUGGUUUCAUAGAUCCAACCGCCCAGCAUGCUCUGAAACAAAAUAGGCAGCCCUUCUCUAACUACCUAGCUAGGUAGUUAAAUAACGUAUUAGUGGAUUAAUCUAUGUUGUUAUUAGAACAAAAGCCAAACCAUAAAACAAAAGGCCAAACCUAAUUCUUUGUUCUCAGUACCCUCUCUUUGAAAAGUAUAGGGCUCUAGAGAAAAACGGUUGUUCUUUUAUUCUUCUUUCAACUUUUUUCUCUCAUUCUAGUUCAAGUUAAAUAAUUAGAAUUUUGCUUGUUAAGAUCAUCUCAGCAUUAUGGUGUAUAGCUCUAGAAGUCAUUACUGGUUACUUGGUUAGUAUCUAAGCCAAUCCUAAUUCUAUUCUUCUUUUAAAACAAGAAUUUGAAUCCUAAUCCUAACCAUAACUAGAAAGAAGUCUGAGAUUGCUGUAUUCUGAUGAAAAGUACCACCCGUUCUCUUUCUCCGAGUCUCAGACAUUACCAUCAAAAUGGAGACGGUGCUUUCCUGGUGAUUCAUUUGCAACAUUAUUAUUUUCAAUUUCUGAUAUUUUGAUGAAAGGAGAGAAACUGAGGAAGAGAAGAUAUCGAAGAUGUAAGACAAAUGAAAACGACAAAAGAAUGAAGAUGAAUAAGUUAAAACAAAAAAUGACUAGCAAAAUCAUUUCAAAAUUAGAACAUUUUAUGUAUUCUGUCCUUCUCUACCAGAGACCUGACAUCUCUCAUUUGUCUCAUUAUAGUGUAAUGUAAAUAGUUAAACACUAUCACCUAGCGUUCUGAUUUUUCACACUGGAAACCAAAGAAAAUUAAGUUUCAAUGACAUUGGCAUCCAAUUUCAGCUUCUGUGCAUGUGUGAAUGAGUGCAGAAAAAUCCUCAGAUUUAUAUUUGAUUUGGGAUGCAAGAAACAACACUGAGAUACUUGGUGCUAAUGGUGAAUCCCAUAGAUUUCAAUUCUCAUGCUUAUGCUUAUGUGAUAUGUGGACCAAACGCAUCUCAAAAACCAAUUAGUCUCGAUCCUUGGGUGCAACUAUGUUGCUGUGUAGUAAAUUUUACAUCCCAUUCAUCUCUGUCAACCCCAAAGUGGGAAAGAGAUAUAUAUACACACAUUCCAAAGAACACUAGCUCCCAGUAAAGUUAAUAGCUUAAUUGCAAGUUCAGUUUUCUUCAACUACAAAGCAACUCAGCAGUGCUACAAAAAAAUGGCAAGAUAUCUACAACUCACUAGAUUUUGGUGAAUUUCUUUGAUUAAAGCUCUAAUUGUGGCUAAUGAACCUGAUUACGACAGCUUAAUUACUUGGUAAAAAGAAAGAGAGUGAGGAUGAAAGCCUUGUGAAAACAUGCUGUGUCUGAACAAACACACUCGUAUGUUCUUAAUUUGAAGCUGUAAGGGGACAUGGACAUAAACUUAAGAAACACAAAAGUCAACCUUAAAGCACACAGCAGUCCUAUUUCUUCAGCACAUAUGUGCUAGUGCUACAAGUACAAAAUGCAAAAGUUCAAUGAAAUUAGCUUAAACACAUUAUUCAUAGCUAUCUCGAUGAUAAUGGAAAAGGGUAUGCAAAUGCAACAGCCUUAGAAAACUUGGAGAAACAAAAUAGUAGUAAAAACCAAAGAUCCAGCAUCUCAUAACUUUUGGUGCAAAGUAACAUAAUAGUGAAGGAACAAAACAAUGUUCGGUUUCCACAACAGACAUAGUGAGUCUGUGUGUAUGUUUGAACAGAUGCUUGAGCUAUACCUAUGUCAGCUAGCUGCAUAGAGCUAAUCGCCAACUAGGCAUAACUAUAAAAUUGAAAGCCCUCCAGUUUCUGACAACCUAGUUAGUUAUAUACCGUCUCUGCAGAUCAAUCUAGGCUAAUCAAAAUACACUAAUAUACCAAACUUAAGCCGCCAAACACACUAAUAUAUAAUGUCACCGAGGAUCAAUCAGUGGCUGCAUGCACGGCACCUGAAAUGUUGCUCAACUGUGUCAGGAGUUAUAUGCACACAUGUGCCAUGGAACCACUGCUCACAUAUGUUGCAUUGAAUCCAGUAUUCAGCUAACCCAAAGCACUUCCUACAGGCACCACAUAUAGUUUCCCCAUCAUCCUGUUCCACAAAAAAUGGACAGGUAUUAGUAAUAUGUAAACAAAUUCAAGUUUCAUGCACACACACAAACAAGUUCAAGUUCAUUUAUAUUUAUUAAAUCCCCCAAUACUAGUAACGCUUGUGCACACUCAGAUUUGUUCAAGUUCAUGGAAUGAUUGCUCUGCUUCAUAUUUGUUAUGUGGAUCACUGGAGAAGUUAAGACCUAACCAAUCAUAUUAGACUAAGCUUACCAAAAUGCAAAACUUAUAAUCCCUUCAUGCAAUUGCAGUGCACUGAAACAUACAAUAUUGAUGAAGGCCAAGAGAAAAUAAAUAUUGAUGCAUGUCUUCCACAGAAAAAGUGUCUCAAAACUGACAUUAAUCCUUAAUGUAAUUUUAUAAAAGCUGAAUACAACAUCUCAAAGAUCUCAUCUAAGACUAAUAUAGUGAGAAUAAGUAAAGCGAACUCACACUUAAUAUGGCACAAAUGUGAAAUCUUAGACCAUCUGAAGAGCACCUAGAGAAACAAAUCCAGCACAUACCAGUAUGAUUCUUCAAAAUUAUGAAUGCACCACCAAUCCCCUACCUUCCUUACUCUUCAUCUAAUUGCAACUAUGGCACUAGCACAUACAUAACCUCUAUAUCAACCCAGAAACAGAUAUGCUAGAUGUAAUAAAACAUAUAUGAACCAACCUAAAGGGGUCUCUGACUCCUUGAAAGCAAAUACUAGCACGGACACAGGGUAUCUUCACACAAUAGCCUAGAUAUCUCCAUUGUUGAUGCAUCAAGUCUAGGAAACUUACCUCUUCAGCAACCCUAGAUGUGCUAGUGCCAGCAGUCACUUCCCCUUCAGAUUCUCUGGAAAUUUCAUGUCUUCAAGAUCUUUUUCAGUCUGAUUUCCAUAUGGGUCAGCGAAUCAGGCAACAGACUGGUCAAAUUGGUUAGAAUGUCAUCGAACAGAGUGCCACCAUACUUGCCACCACAGUUGCCAUCAACAACAAUACUGAAACACUUGCCAUCAUCGAGGUUAAACUUAUCAUCGAGCUUAAAAUCCUCUAACCUGAGUGAAUCAUCGAGCAAAUGCUUCUGGAAAUCCUUAUAAAGUUUAUUUUGCUGACGAUGAAUGUCUUGAUACUAUCAUUUAGCUGCUGGACUUGAGAGACGUAUGCCUUGAUACCAUCAGCUAGAUGAUAGUAUCAAGACAUUCAUCCAUCAGCAAAAUAAACUUUAUAAGGAUUUCCAUAAGCAUUUGCUCGAUGAUUCACUCAGGUUAGAGGAUUUUAAGCUCGAUGAUAAGUUUAAAUCUCGAUGAUAACAUGGCAAGUGUUUCAGUAUUGUUGUUGAUGACAACUGUGGUGGCAAGUAUGGUGGUACUCUGUUCGACAACAUUCUAACCAAUUUGAUCGGCUUGUUGCCUGAUUCGCUGACCCAUAUGGAAAUCAGACUGAAAAAGAUCUUGAAGAUUCAUGGAAUUUCCAGAGAAUCUGAUGGGAAGACUGCGCGUGAUCUGACAUCCGGUGGAAAUUGGAUGUGAUGUCCUUCUCCAAAUCCGGCCUCAACAACAUCCCCCGAAAUAGAAGACGACCAGUCUUAGGGCAAGUUGACAAUAUAUCUUCAUGAAGACGACCAGUCUUAGAGCAAGUUGAUAAUCUUGAUACAUCUUUAAAGAUUUGCUCCAACUGCAGAGACAUCUUCUCGUCCUUCUUGUCGGUCGUCUCCAGAAGGGCCCUUAUGUGGGUGGUAUCAUCUUUAAUUUCAGAGGAUUGGAGUGACGUCAAAACUAUAAGGCUUAACUGGAAAUCCGAACUGACCUUGUCCAUUUGCUGGGAAUAUACGGGGAUUAUUUUCUUGAGCUUGUGGGCGAUCCCUGAUGACUUAUUCAUCCUGCCCACGAGCUGGAUAGCCCAGUCGAUGUCUUCUUUGAGCACCUUGAUGAGUUCGGUAGGUACCCCAUUGACAAAUUCUCCAGGUACCAGCGGAGAUUGAGUGUCCAGUCGCCUUGAGACAGCCCACGGCCCCUGCGACAACUCCGAAUGCCUCGGCCAUCGAAGGAGAGAGUGUUGCGCCGUUUUGGGAAUUCGAUCUGUUUCUGUUUCUCUUUGAGAGGGAGAGUGGUAGAGCUAGGGUAAGGUUUUGUGGGAUACUGCGUUGGACUUGGACACCAACAUUAGCAUAGUAGCAGGCCUCUUGUGCUGCUAGCUCAUUUUGUGGUUCUAGCCCAACUUACUAAAUAUCUUCUUUGUCUCUUAUCCUGUUUUCGAUUUUAGUAAAUUUUCGAUAAAAUAGUUUAUAUAAUUAACAAAGAAAAUGGAGAAAAGUUUCUUAAAUUUCAUCAACGUUUUUUCUUAAUAUAGACACGAAUCAUUGAUAUAUAAUUAUAGAUAUAAUAAAAAUUUAACUUAUUAAACACAUUUUAAAGAAAGAGAAUAGAAGAGGAUAGAAGAGGAUGACUACCUUCGGAGCUUCUGGCAUGAUGUUUCAGUGCGUGUUUGAAGGAAGCCUAUCAAUGUGGGACUCAGAAAUUUAACGAAGACCGUACCAUAAAAAUUGCAACUGUGCACUUCACAAGUCUAAGAGGGGUGCUUGUUCCAAUGUCUGUACUCAAGAAAGUAACAUUUCCUUUCCCAAGAAACAUUCAUGGAUCGAUGGCUCAUUGUGCAUGUCAGCAACAAUUUCCUCGGCUCCUCCCGGAGCCACAUCCAUUUCCGUCGGAAACAUAGAAAGUCUUAAUGGUGUCCCAUCCUUGUCUCACAGAUGAUGGAUACAGGCGACACGACUGUAGCUGAGUUAGAACUUAGAAGAAACAGGUCAGGAACUGAGAAGCAAUUUUGAGUUUUUCGUUUCUCUUACACUGGUCCUUGUGAGCUAACUUCUUCUAGCUUCAUGACUUAAUCCAUGUAAAUUCCACUGCGUUUUCUGUAGAGAUUAUUGUCACUUUACUUGAAUACAACUGAAGCUUCAAACAGCAAAUCUGAGUCUCUCUGUCUGAGCUCAUAUUUGCAUAUGCCCUUUUCCCAAUUCUACCAGGGUACAUUGACUACAUUCUACAAUUUACUUUGUUAACAUCAUUUCAGUACUAACUGAUAUCAUUUCAUUUCAAAGAAGGGUUUUUUUUUUUUUUUUUUUCUAUUUUCCAAUGAAGAUACAGAGAGAGGACAAUGCUAAGAGACAAAAGGAAAGAGAAGAUGAAAAUGCCGUUAAAUGGGGAAAAAAGAUUGACCACAACGUUCAAUUUUGCUUCUCCAAAACCAUAAGUAGGGACAUAAAUCGUAUAUUUGAGAUUAUGCACUUGUGUCUGUUCUUAACAUCAAAUAACUGGUAAAAAUGACCUCAAGCAUUCCAAUUGGCAAUCUCUAAACCACAGUAGCUGUAAAAAGAUCGACUCAAUAGUUUCACUAAGCUGCUGGAUAUAUUAAGCCUUUCUGCAGACAUGGAUAACCAAAAAGGUUCAAAAAUUGAAUGCAGCAAGUCCUUGUCGAUCAUUAGUAAUUUAUUGACAGAAUAUGCAUAAGAAUUACCGUUAAACACCAUAUAGUAUGUCCUCCUAAAUCGGUAUAAGUUCCAACAAGUGAAUACAGUAACAGAGUGAUGCUUGAUAAAAACAAAAGAGAGAAGACAAUAUACUAUGAAACGAGACUGGGAGCAAGGUUAGUUAAAAGACGUUAUUGUGGAGAAAGCUAUGCUAAAACCCCCCACAAUUACAAUGAUCGCUAAAUGCUAAAUCAUGACAACCGAUUUGUCUCUACUUGCUCCCUCUCUUAACGUUUUUGAGAAGCUGAGUUUCUCAAGAAAAACUAAUUCUUGUUGCAUAACUACCUUGACAAGACAACAUAAAGAUUAAUAAGAACCUUUCAGUUUUUCUUAUCAGUACUAAAUGCCAAAGUUGAAUCAAAUAUUUCUUGGAAAAAUUGAAAAGUGUAUAACUUGAAGCAUGAAUGAGAAUAGAGAAAAACAAAGUAGUGGUAGAAACUAGAGACGAAUACUCUUUAACACAAAGUAGUGGUAACUAGUAUAAUAAUGGAAGCAGAAAACCAGACUACAUUUUGACAUGAGUGAUCAGUUCGUGUCUUUUAUUUCCUUGAAUAACAAGAAAUGAUACUUAGGGUAUUUGG
rnacentral:lncRNA from 1 species